ACAGCAGAGAACAAGAAAUGAAUUAUCUCAUUCAAGGAUGAGAGGAGAACAUAGUUUAUCUUGGAUGAACUACUGUGCUAGAGAGCUAAGAAGGAAUGAAGUGAAGAUUUUCAAACCCCUGAGGGAGGGCUGUGCAUUGCCUGAAUGAAGAACCAACUUGGAAAAUGUAUCUCUGAGCAAGGGCUGGAAUAGAAUAACGUUAGGACAGAGAAAAAAUUUCUGAGGCAGAUCACCCCUGCGCUGUGAGAUGUACUGAUUUCUGAAGUUUAACAUCGGUCCUGAAGGGGAAAGGAAAGAAGGAAACUAGAAAAGUCUUCAGAUUCAAACUGGAACUGCACUACUGGCUUUCCUGGGUCUCCAGCUGGCAGAUUGUAGAUUUUGAGACUUCUCAGCCUCCAUGAUCAUGACUAUUCCUGACAGAUGGCAGAAGGUGAGGGGAAGGAAGCUGAUUACCUUCCCUAGGCAAUGAAGAGUGAGGCUCGUGGGGCAGGUAGGUCAUUAGAGGGCAGAUGACACUCUAGAGGGAGAUGCAAAAAAACAACAACCAUGAAUCAGGCAUUUAUUUCUGUGUUGGA